rnacentral:rRNA from 1 species
UACGGGGGGGGGCAAGCGUUUGUUCGGAAUUACUGGGCAUAAAGGGCUCGUAGGCGGCCAACUAAGUCGGACGUGAAAUCCCCAGGCUCAACCUGGGAACUGCGUCCGAUACUGGAUGGCUUGAAUUCGGGAGAGGGAUGCAGAAUUCCAGGUGUAGCGGUGAAAUGCGUAGAUAUCUGGAGGAAUACCGGUGGCGAAGGCGGCAUCCUGGACCGACAUUGACGCUGAUGAGCGAAAGCAUGGGGAGCGAACAGG